rnacentral:rRNA from 1 species
CCUACGGGUGGCAGCAGUGAGGAAUAUUGGUCAAUGGACGAGAGUCUGAACCAGCCAAGUAGCGUGAAGGAUGACUGCCCUACGGGUUGUAAACUUCUUUUAUAUGGGAAUAAAACAGGGUAUGGGUACCCCCUUGUGUGUACCAUAUGAAUAAGGAUCGGCUAACUCCGUGCCAGCAGCCGCGGUAAUACGGAGGAUACGAGCGUUAUCCGGAUUUAUUGGGGUUAACGGGAGCGUAGGUGGAUUGUUAAGUCAGGUGUGAAAUUUUGCGGCCCAACCGUAAAAUUGCAGUUGAAACUGGCAGUCUUGAGUACAGUAGAGGUGGGCGGAAUGCGUGGUGUAGCGGUGAAAUGCUUAGAUAUCACGAAGAACUCCGAUUGCGAAGGCAGCAUACCGGACUGCAACUGACACUGAGGCUCGAAAGUGUGGGUAUCAAACAGGAUUAGAUACCCUUGUAGUC